rnacentral:rRNA from 1 species
GACGAACGCUGGCGGCGUGCUUAACACAUGCAAGUCGAACGGGAGUAUCGAAGAAGCUUGCUUUUAAGAUACUUUAGUGGCGGACGGGUGAGUAACGCGUGAGGAGCUGUCCUAUGCAGGGGGACAACAGUUGGAAACGACUGCUAAUACCCCAUAAGCCGAGAGGUAAAAGGAUUUAUCGGGCAAAGGAGGUACUCGCGUCCUAUCAGCUAGUAGGUGAGGUAACGGCUCACCUAGGCGAAGACGGGUAGCCGGUCUGAGAGGGCGAACGGCCACACUGGAACUGAGAUACGGUCCAGACUCCUACGGGAGGCAGCAGUGGGGAAUAUUGGGCAAUGGGGGCAACCCUGACCCAGCGACGCCGCGUGGGUGAAGAAAACCUUCGGGAUGUAAAGCCCUGUUGUAUGGGAAGAGCAGAAGACGGUACCAUACGAGGAAGCCCCGGCAAACUACGUGCCAGCCGCCGCCGUAA